rfam:Bombyx mori DNA, contig: Bm_scaf26_contig17231, strain: p50T/Dazao, build 2, whole genome shotgun sequence.
UUAAUUCAAAUUUAUAUAGAUUUGGAACGUUUGCCUACGUUUGCCGCUAGGGGCGCUGUUCCAACUGCAUACAAAUUUGAGUUA